GCUGUUGGCCGGCUGCCUGAGCAAGAACAGGCUGUUGCGCGAAUGAUACCGCUGCUGUUGGGGUUUGUGGUGAGAUAGGCUGCUGCUGAUGAUUAUCAUAGAUGGGUUUUGCUUCUGCUACGUCCUCUACUAUGGUGGAAUUAGGACCGAUUCUUGCGGCGUUGCUAACAGCGAACUUUGAUGAUGUCUGUUAAGAAAAUAAAUGAUGUUAAGAAACUGUAUCUAAGUUGGCGUCAUCAACUCUGCUACGAUCUUUUGCAAAUAGUUUGUGUGCCUUUGCUUUCAGCUCCUUGGGGUGUGGUGUAUUUUGCCUGACAAACGGUGUGUCCUUCUCCUGCGUUGAUUCCUCAGAAAAUUUUACGGAAUGUGUUCUUGAGGCUUCUCGCUCUUCCCAGCCAUCCGAAUCAGUUUCAAGCUCGCGAGCUAAGAUUAAUAAAGAAUAACGACAACAUGUUUAAAAAGCUCUUAUUAAAUAGUUUUCGCAGAUUAUUAUUAUUUUUUUAAUUAUUUAAUGCUUGCAAUUGUUAUAAAUGAGAUUAAUUUUAGAGUUUUCACACAUUUCUACGUGCAUGCAUUCGCAUUGCCAAUAUACAGGUUAUAACCACAUUUGUACACAUAAAUGUAUGUACACAUGUAUGUAUACAUGAAGUACUAGAUAUUUACGAAAAAGGCAUUUUGAGCUAUUUUUAAUAAAGUAUGUAUUUAAUAGUUAGUAUGUAAUAGCCAAACAGGUGUCAACACAACAAAGCAAUUUCAGCCAACAGCAUACAGUCAAGUAAGUUAUUACAUUUGUAAUGGUAUGAGAAAAACUGCUUAGCACAACAUUUUAGCUAUUCAUAUUUAUGCAUAUUUUCAGGUAUCCAAAAGUGGUUUAUUUGUUUGAGUACUAGUAUAUUGGUGUUGUCACUGCGUUUUAAGAGGGAGACGUAACUUGGGAAUUGCAUAACCUGCGCUCACUUAUGUAUAAAUUGGCACAGGUUUUACAUAUCAACGUGAUAAGCACAUCUAUUCAUACGUUCAUUAAUGUGUACGUUUCACAGAAUCACUUGUGCUAACAUAGAAACUUGUGGCAUAUAUAAAGGCUGUGGUGACCUAUUGUUCUGCUUUAAAUUUUUCUUUUAUUAUUUAACUAAAUUACGUUCCCAUCUCGGCGUUAUGAGCGCUUUAAUGAAGAUUUAUGUACAUAAAUACGUAUGUUGUUAUGCUUAGCGUGAAUAAACUGUUUUUACCGCCCGUA